AUUGAAGAUAAUUUAGCUUACCUGCUUACCUAUUGUAAGUAGGUGUAGUAGGUAUAUAUUACUGCCAUCUUAUCAAGAUUAAUUUUGUUGUUAUCUACAUUUCAAGUAGACUUUGAAUUCCUUGAGGAAUUCCUAGACUAGAAUAUGCCAAAGGCGAUAGAAAGAAACUAUCUCGACCAAUAUUGACCUACGGUAGAGAGAGAGAUAAGAUAAGGGCCCCCCUGUCGCAUUUUGUAAAAUGUUUACUACGAGAGUAAAAAUGGCAGGUGUCGGAGAAGAGAUGUCAACGAGGGUAUUUACAGUGGAGAUCGGUUCCUAUUACUUGGCAGCAAGCCAAAUGGAAGUGGUAAAGUUGGUAUAGUCCUGCCACAGGUAAAGGUUUCGUCAAACUGACGUAGUGGAACUGUUUGUACAGCUAAAGAAACGUAGGUCUAGCGUACAGAAUGAAGUUUAACGAAGUAACGCAGAAUUGACACUCUUCCCGGAAGACCAGUAUUUCAAUUAAAUUGUCACAAUUGUAGUAUGAAUGUUCUGCAAGUCAGUGAUCAUUUCUCUGUAUUAAACAUCGAAUUGAACGCAGCUGACUUUAACCUACUUCCACGGAUUAAUAUGAAGGGUAGCAAAAUGACAGAGCCCUAUCGUGCCUGAUAAAUAAAUCGGAAACUAAAUAUACCACAGCAAGUUGUUUUAUUAUAAACCGUCGAU